rnacentral:misc_RNA from 1 species
GGACAUAGUCAUCAUGCCGUGCCCCACGGUGACCGGCAUCCCGAAUACCUGGGCACGCGCCGCCCAUUCCUCGUUGGUAUGGACCGGAUUCAUAUCCAGCGACGCAAGCGCAUAGUGAUCGAUCGCGGAUUGAACGUAAGACUGAGCGACACUCGGGAAAGCGUAACCGGUCUCAAUCUUGCUGAAAGUCGGAACAGACAUUUGAUGGACUCCUCGAUCAGGCGUUUGCGAAGCGGGCGACAUCCGCCUGCGUUUCAGGAAGGAUCAGCGAGCACCAC